UCCUGCUCUUUCCCCAUGGUUGCUCUCCAACCCUGACAAGUUAUAAUCUCACUUCAGACAGGCCGAAUCUUGGUUCUCCACAACAUACUGCAUCUCUUUGCUUUCCAAGCAUCACGUUAGACGUUAUUUCCUUUAACAGAGGCAACAUGGAAGAUCUGGGGUUUCUUAUUCAGACGUCUUAACCAUCAUAAGCAACACUCUCAGCUCCAUCCAUCCGGUUUAUUUAUAACCUCAAAUCUGAGUAAAAUCGCUGUCCAGGAAAAAGGUUGGAGAUCCAGGACUCAUAGCCAGUCGACUAUUUUCUGCCAUCCAAGUCCAAACACACUUCAGAAAGACAGAUGCAUCGGACAGAGGGCUGGGGGCUGUUCUGUCCCAGGAGGUGGAGGGGGAGGACCGUCCAGUGCUGUACAUCAGCCACAAGCUGUCGUUGCAUGAGGGCAGGUACAGCACCAUAGAAAAGGAAUCCCUUGCCAUCAAGUGGGCAGUCCUCGCCCUCCGCUACUACCUGCUGGGGCACCCUUUCACCCUCUGGUCAGACCACGCGCCCUUGCAGUGGCUCCACCACAUGAAGGAUGCCAACAUGCGGAUCACCCGUUGGUAUCUGGCACUCCAACCGUUUAAGUUCGAGGUGGUCCACAGGCCGGGGGUGCAGAUGGUCGUGGAGGACUU